UACGUAGGUGGCAAGCGUUGUCCGGAAUUAUUGGGCGUAAAGCGCGCGCAGGCGGUCCUUUAAGUCUGAUGUGAAAGCCCACGGCUCAACCGUGGAGGGUCAUUGGAAACUGGGGGACUUGAGUGCAGAAGAGGAAAGUGGAAUUCCACGUGUAGCGGUGAAAUGCGUAGAGAUGUGGAGGAACACCAGUGGCGAAGGCGACUUUCUGGUCUGUAACUGACACUGAGGCGCGAAAGCGUGGGGAGCGAACAGG
rnacentral:rRNA from 1 species